rnacentral:rRNA from 1 species
UUAAGUUAUUAAGGGCGCACGGUGGAUGCCUUGGCACUAGAAGCCGAUGAAGGACGUUACUAACGACGAUAUGCUUUGGGGAGCUGUAAGUAAGCUUUGAUCCAGAGAUUUCCGAAUGGGGAAACCUAGCAUGAGUUAUGUCAUGUUAUCGAUAUGUGAAUACAUAGCAUAUCAGAAGGCACACCCGGAGAACUGAAACAUCUUAGUACCCGGAGGAAGAGAAAGAAAAUUCGAUUCCCUUAGUAGCGGCGAGCGAAACGGGAAGAGCCCAAACCAACAAGCUUGCUUGUUGGGGUUGUAGGACACUCUAUACGGAGUUACAAAGGACGACAUUAGACGAAUCAUCUGGAAAGAUGAAUCAAAGAAGGUAAUAAUCCUGUAGUCGAAAAUGUUGUCUCUCUUGAGUGGAUCCUGAGUACGACGGAGCACGUGAAAUUCCGUCGGAAUCUGGGAGGACCAUCUCCUAAGGCUAAAUACUCUCUAGUGACCGAUAGUGAACCAGUACCGUGAGGGAAAGGUGAAAAGCACCCCGGAAGGAGAGUGAAAUAGAACCUGAAACCGUGUGCUUACAAGUAGUCAGAGCCCGUUAAUGGGUGAUGGCGUGCCUUUUGUAGAAUGAACCGGCGAGUUACGAUUUGAUGCAAGGUUAAGCAGUAAAUGUGGAGCCGUAGCGAAAGCGAGUCUGAAUAGGGCGUUUAGUAUUUGGUCGUAGACCCGAAACCAGGUGAUCUACCCUUGGUCAGGUUGAAGUUCAGGUAACACUGAAUGGAGGACCGAACCGACUUACGUUGAAAAGUGAGCGGAUGAACUGAGGGUAGCGGAGAAAUUCCAAUCGAACCUGGAGAUAGCUGGUUCUCUCCGAAAUAGCUUUAGGGCUAGCCUCAAGUGAUGAUUAUUGGAGGUAGAGCACUGUUUGGACGAGGGGCCCCUCUCGGGUUACCGAAUUCAGACAAACUCCGAAUGCCAAUUAAUUUAACUUGGGAGUCAGAACAUGGGUGAUAAGGUCCGUGUUCGAAAGGGAAACAGCCCAGACCACCAGCUAAGGUCCCAAAAUAUAUGUUAAGUGGAAAAGGAUGUGGCGUUGCCCAGACAACUAGGAUGUUGGCUUAGAAGCAGCCAUCAUUUAAAGAGUGCGUAAUAGCUCACUAGUCGAGUGACACUGCGCCGAAAAUGUACCGGGGCUAAACAUAUUACCGAAGCUGUGGAUUGUCCUUUGGACAAUGGUAGGAGAGCGUUCUAAGGGCGUUGAAGCAUGAUCGUAAGGACAUGUGGAGCGCUUAGAAGUGAGAAUGCCGGUGUGAGUAGCGAAAGACGGGUGAGAAUCCCGUCCACCGAUUGACUAAGGUUUCCAGAGGAAGGCUCGUCCGCUCUGGGUUAGUCGGGUCCUAAGCUGAGGCCGACAGGCGUAGGCGAUGGAUAACAGGUUGAUAUUCCUGUACCACCUAUAAUCGUUUUAAUCGAUGGGGGGACGCAGUAGGAUAGGCGAAGCGUGCGAUUGGAUUGCACGUCUAAGCAGUAAGGCUGAGUAUUAGGCAAAUCCGGUACUCGUUAAGGCUGAGCUGUGAUGGGGAGAAGACAUUGAGUCUUCGAGUCGUUGAUUUCACACUGCCGAGAAAAGCCUCUAGAUAGAAAAUAGGUGCCCGUACCGCAAACCGACACAGGUAGUCAAGAUGAGAAUUCUAAGGUGAGCGAGCGAACUCUCGUUAAGGAACUCGGCAAAAUGACCCCGUAACUUCGGGAGAAGGGGUGCUCUUUAGGGUUAACGCCCAGAAGAGCCGCAGUGAAUAGGCCCAAGCGACUGUUUAUCAAAAACACAGGUCUCUGCUAAACCGUAAGGUGAUGUAUAGGGGCUGACGCCUGCCCGGUGCUGGAAGGUUAAGAGGAGUGGUUAGCUUCUGCGAAGCUACGAAUCGAAGCCCCAGUAAACGGCGGCCGUAACUAUAACGGUCCUAAGGUAGCGAAAUUCCUUGUCGGGUAAGUUCCGACCCGCACGAAAGGCGUAACGAUUUGGGCACUGUCUCAACGAGAGACUCGGUGAAAUCAUAGUACCUGUGAAGAUGCAGGUUACCCGCGACAGGACGGAAAGACCCCGUGGAGCUUUACUGUAGCCUGAUAUUGAAAUUCGGCACAGCUUGUACAGGAUAGGUAGGAGCCUUUGAAACGUGAGCGCUAGCUUACGUGGAGGCGCUGGUGGGAUACUACCCUAGCUGUGUUGGCUUUCUAACCCGCACCACUUAUCGUGGUGGGAGACAGUGUCAAGCGGGCAGUUUGACUGGGGCGGUCGCCUCCUAAAAGGUAACGGAGGCGCUCAAAGGUUCCCUCAGAAUGGUUGGAAAUCAUUCAUAGAGUGUAAAGGCAUAAGGGAGCUUGACUGCGAGACCUACAAGUCGAGCAGGGUCGAAAGACGGACUUAGUGAUCCGGUGGUUCCGCAUGGAAGGGCCAUCGCUCAACGGAUAAAAGCUACCCCGGGGAUAACAGGCUUAUCUCCCCCAAGAGUUCACAUCGACGGGGAGGUUUGGCACCUCGAUGUCGGCUCAUCGCAUCCUGGGGCUGUAGUCGGUCCCAAGGGUUGGGCUGUUCGCCCAUUAAAGCGGUACGCGAGCUGGGUUCAGAACGUCGUGAGACAGUUCGGUCCCUAUCCGUCGUGGGCGUAGGAAAUUUGAGAGGAGCUGUCCUUAGUACGAGAGGACCGGGAUGGACAUACCUCUGGUGUACCAGUUGUCGUGCCAACGGCAUAGCUGGGUAGCUAUGUGUGGACGGGAUAAGUGCUGAAAGCAUCUAAGCAUGAAGCCCCCCUCAAGAUGAGAUUUCCCAACUUCGGUUAUAAGAUCCCUCAAAGAUGAUGAGGUUAAUAGGUUCGAGGUGGAAGCAUGGUGACAUGUGGAGCUGACGAAUACUAAUCGAUCGAAGACUUAAUCAA